GAUAAGGAUGAAGAAAAGACUAAGGGCAAAUACAGCUGUUGCAGGCCCUGUGUGUGUCCUGGGGAUGCAGUGGUGACCAAAGUGGGCACGACGCCGGUUCUCGUGGAGUAUACAGUCGGAUGGAAGAAGACAGACUUUGUAUGAAUAAUCUCUCCAGUAUGUAAUUCCUAACUCUAUCAAAAGAGACAACGGAGAUUAACAGAGGUUCUCCAUGCCUUCUGUGAUACAUUCUGGUAGAGGUCCGCGGGACUUGGAACACCACGGGCUCGUGGCCUGCACGUGCUUCUUUUCUCC